GACGAACGCUGGCGGCGUGCUUAACACAUGCAAGUCGAACGGAAAGGCCCUGCUUUUGUGGGGUGCUCGAGUGGCGAACGGGUGAGUAACACGUGAGUAACCUGCCCUUGACUUUGGGAUAACUUCAGGAAACUGGGGCUAAUACCGGAUAGGAGCUCCUGCUGCAUUGUGGGGGUUGGAAAGUUUCGGCGGUUGGGGAUGGACUCGCGGCUUAUCAGCUUGUUGGUGGGGUAGUGGCUUACCAGGGCUUUGACGGGUAGCCGGCCUGAGAGGGUGACCGGCCACAUUGGGACUGAGAUACGGCCCAGACUCCUACGGGAGGCAGCAGUGGGGAAUAUUGCACAAUGGGCGGAAGCCUGAUGCAGCAACGCCGCGUGCGGGAUGACGGCCUUCGGGUUGUAAACCGCUUUCGCCUGUGACGAAGCGUGAGUGACGGUAAUGGGUAAAGAAGCACCGGCUAACUACGUG
rnacentral:rRNA from 1 species